CUGCUCUCAGUCCUGCUGCAUUUGCACCAGAAACUUCCAACAGCAACAUGAAGUGGGGUGGCCUCCUCCUCCUGGUGAUCCUCUUCAUCUUCAUCCUGCAGGUGCAGGAGCUUCAGGCUUCAGUGAGGCCCAGGAACAUUUUGGGCGCCUGCAUUGAGUUCUGCAGAGGUGACUGGGACUGUGACCUGGGGGAGCACUGUGUCAGCAAUGGGUGUGGCCAUAGCUGUGUUUCCAAAUAAAGACAGAGCUUGUACAUUCAAAGAUGUGACGGGAGCACCUUGACCAGGAAGACAGUUGAAAAUGGGCACCAGUGGAUGGAAUUUGCAAGGGAUGUAGGGGAAAGUGAAGAGAAUGUAUUUCUUUUAAUAAAUCAUUAUCAUUAAAAUCCUGA